AUGUCAUUAGUAUGGAAUUUCAAGGGCCAACAUGAUUUUCUUUUUCCCGCUGGGAUCGAGAUGCAUGUGUCUAGAAAUACGGGGCCGUCCUUCAGCAAGCAGCAGCAUAUACACACCUCAAACUCACCAGGAUACUAAGCCAGCUAAGCUGAGCUUGGAUAUGGGGUCCUUUGCUAAAGCUGCGCGUUUCCUGGUGCUCCUCCAGAUCGCUAUGUUCGUCGUCUCAGCCGUCAUCAUGAACAGCUCCGUCUGCCAUGGAGCUCGCGACAUCAGUGGAGGAAUCGGCUACCCUUCUUUGAACCCUAACCAUCCUCCGUGCGCCAGGAAACCGUGCCCGUCGCCUGGUCAGCCCUACACCCGCGGACCCCCUCCCCCAAACAACGGAGGAAUUGGGCGGCCUUGAUGCAUCAUGUCUCCCUCUAGCAGUGCAAGUUACUACCACGAUCUUGCACUGAAUCGGCAGCAAUAUUGUCUCGUGUACUUACGUUUUAAAACUUCAAAUAAAACUGGAUGCCUGGCCCUGAUAUCAAUAUGCAUGGUUGUGCGAACAUGAAACUUCGGUUCAGAAUUAAUAAAAGACAUUGAUGAGAGCGAACUGUAUAGCUAAGUGUUGCUUCCUAUUUGAUUCAGUCUAGCAGCAACCGGAAGACUCUCAUCGUGCUAUUGUGUACUCUAGGCAUGAAGGCUGCCGGCCGAAUUAAGCUUUGAUGUGAAAUCAGUUGAUGGAUUUCUUUUGUGGUUGCAGUAGUUUGUUUAUGUGUGUAACUAUAUGUAUCAACUCAUUUUUCGAUAAAAAUAAAAUAUUAAUAUCGCGAAGAUACCAA